AGUGAACGCUGGCGGUAGGCCUAGCACAUGCAAGUCGAACGGCAGCACAGUAAGAGCUUGCUCUUACGGGUGGCGAGUGGCGGACGGGUGAGGAAUACAUCGGAAUCUACUUUUUCGUGGGGGAUAACGUAGGGAAACUUACGCUAAUACCGCAUACGACCUACGGGUGAAAGCAGGGGAUCUUCGGACCCUGCGCGAUUGAAUGAGCCGAUGUCGGAUUAGCUAGUUGGCGGGGUAAAGGCCCACCAAGGCGACGAUCCGUAGCUGGUCUGAGAGGAUGAUCAGCCACACUGGAACUGAGACACGGUCCAGACUCCUACGGGAGGCAGCAGUGGGGAAUAUUGGACAAUGGGCGCAAGCCUGAUCCAGCCAUACCGCGUGGGUGAAGAAGGCCUUCGGGUUGUAAAGCCCUUUUGUUGGGAAAGAAAAGCAGCAGGUUAAUACCCCGCUGUUCUGACGGUACCCAAAGAAUAAGCACCGGCUAACUUCGUG
rnacentral:rRNA from 1 species